CAGUUCGGAUUGCAGGCUGNAACCCGCCUGCAUGAAGCCGGAAUCGCUAGUAAUCGCGGAUCAGAAUGCCGCGGUGAAUACGUUCCCGGGUCUUGUACACACCGCCCGUCACACCAUGGGAGUCGGGAAUGCCCGAAGUCAGUGGCCCAACCGGAAGGGGGGAGCUGCCGAAGGCAGGCCCGGUGACUGGGGUGAAGUCGUAACAAGGUAGC
rnacentral:rRNA from 1 species